rnacentral:rRNA from 1 species
GCUCAGGAUGAACGCUAGCUACAGGCUUAACACAUGCAAGUCGAGGGGUAGCAGGGUAGCAAUACCGCUGACGACCGGCGCACGGGUGAGUAACACGUAUCCAACCUUCCCAUAACUCAGGGAUAGCCUUUCGAAAGAAAGAUUAAUACCUGAUAGUACUUAAGAAAGGCAUCUUUUUUAAGUUAAAGAUUUAUUGGUUAUGGAUGGGGAUGCGUUCCAUUAGAUAGUUGGUGAGGUAACGGCUCACCAAGUCUUCGAUGGAUAGGGGUUCUGAGAGGAAGGUCCCCCACAUUGGUACUGAGACACGGACCAAACUCCUACGGGAGGCAGCAGUGAGGAAUAUUGGUCAAUGGGCGAGAGCCUGAACCAG